AGUAUAGAGGAACCUCAAAAAAUCAGAAAUACUAAAUUAUUCAGUAAUUCAAGUACCGACUAUUUACCCAAAGAAAACAAAUACUAAUCUUAAAAAAUACACGCACCUCUAUGUUUAUUGCAGCAUUAUUUACAAUACCAAGAUACGGAAGCAAUCUAAGUUCAAUGGAUCAAUGGAUGGAGAAGAUGUGGCAUAUAAGGCUGGAGGGAAGAGGGCUUGGGAGACAAGGUGAUCAAAGCUCAAAGCGUUUCACUCCAGGAGGGUGCCGCCAAGACCCGGAGCUCUCCUCCCUCAACUCCUAGUCUAGGAGAGCUUUAUGGCAUCUUCCCAGGAGGGGCAGGCCACCAGCAGAGUAAAGCCUGGCAGAGAGAACAUCCAACUGGACGUGGAGUGGCUCUUACACAAGGAUCUGUGGCGAAUGGUGUCUACAAUAAACAAGGUUUAGGUAUCCCAUAAAAGAGACCGAAGAUUCUAGAUCACUCCUGAUAGAAUACCUACCAAGGAACUUUUUCUUUUCUUC